rnacentral:rRNA from 1 species
AACGAACGCUGGCGGCAUGCCUAACACAUGCAAGUCGAACGAGACCUUCGGGUUUAGUGGCGCACGCGUGCGUAACGCGUGGGAACCUGCCCUUAGGUUCGGAAUAACUCCCCGAAUGGGGUGCUAAUACCGGCUAAUGUCCUCGGACCAAAGAUUUAUCGCCUUUGGAUGGGCCUGCGUUGGAUUAGUUAGUUGGUAGGGUAAAAGCCUACCAAGGCGACGAUCCAUAGCUGGGCUGAGAGGAUGAUCAGCCACACUGGGACUGAGACACGGCCCAGACUCUUACGGGAGGCAGCAGUGGGGAAUAUUGGACAGUGGGCGGAAGCCUGAUCCAGCUAUGCCGCGUGAGUGAUGAAGGCCGUAGGGUUGGAAAGCUCGUUUACCCGGGAUGAUAAUGACGGUACCGGGAGAAUAAGCUCCGGCUAACUCCGUG